rnacentral:rRNA from 1 species
AGUGAACGCUGGCGGUAUGCCUAACACAUGCAAGUCGAACGGCAGCACAGUAAGAGCUUGCUCUUACGGGUGGCGAGUGGCGGACGGGUGAGGAAUACAUCGGAAUCUACUUUUUCGUGGGGGAUAACGUAGGGAAACUUACGCUAAUACCGCAUACGACCUACGGGUGAAAGCAGUGGAUCUUCGCACCUUGCGCGAUUGAAUGAGCCGAUUUCGGAUUAGCUAGUUGGCGGGGUAAAGGCCCACCAAGGCGACGAUCCGUAGCUGGUCUGAGAGGAUGAUCAGCCACACUGGAACUGAGACACGGUCCAGACUCCUACGGGAGGCAGCAGUGGGGAAUAUUGGACAAUGGGCGCAAACCUGAUCCAGCCAUACCGCGUGGGUGAAGAAGGCCUUCAGGUUGUAAAGCCCUUUUGUUGGGAAAGAAAAGCAGCAGGUUAAUACCCCGCUGUUCUGACGGUACCCAAAGAAUAAGCACCGGCUAACUUCGUG